GGAAUAUUGCACAAUGGGCGAAAGCCUGAUGCAGCGACGCCGCGUGAGGGAUGACGGCCUUCGGGUUGUAAACCUCUUUCAGUAGGGAAGAAGCGAAAGUGACGGUACCUGCAGAAGAAGCGCCGGCUAACUACGUGCCAGCAGCCGCGGUAAUACGUAGGGCGCAAGCGUUAUCCGGAUUUAUUGGGCGUAAAGAGCUCGUAGGCGGUUUGUCGCGUCUGCCGUGAAAGUCCGAGGCUCAACUUCGGAUCUGCGGUGGGUACGGGCAGACUAGAGUGAUGUAGGGGAGACUGGAAUUCCUGGUGUAGCGGUGAAAUGCGCAGAUAUCAGGAGGAACACCGAUGGCGAAGGCAGGUCUCUGGGCAUCUACUGACGCUGAGGAGCGAAAGCAUGGGGAGCGAACAGGAUUAGAUACCCUGG
rnacentral:rRNA from 1 species